GAUGAACGCUGGCGGCGUGCCUAAUACAUGCAAGUAGAACGCUGAAGCUUGGUGCUUGCACCGAGCGGAUGAGUUGCGAACGGGUGAGUAACGCGUAGGUAACCUGCCUGGUAGCGGGGGAUAACUAUUGGAAACGAUAGCUAAUACCGCAUGACAACAGUUAUUGCAUGAUAACUGUUUAAAAGGGGCAAUUGCUCCACUACCAGAUGGACCUGCGUUGUAUUAGCUAGUUGGUGAGGUAACGGCUCACCAAGGCGACGAUACAUAGCCGACCUGAGAGGGUGAUCGGCCACACUGGGACUGAGACACGGCCCAGACUCCUACGGGAGGCAGCAGUAGGGAAUCUUCGGCAAUGGACGGAAGUCUGACCGAGCAACGCCGCGUGAGUGAAGAAGGUUUUCGGAUCGUAAAGCUCUGUUGUAAGAGAAGAACGAGUGUGAGAGUGGAAAGUUCACACUGUGACGGUAUCUUACCAGAAAGGGACGGCUAACUACGUG
rnacentral:rRNA from 1 species